rnacentral:RNase_P_RNA from 1 species
GGAGUUGGGCAGGCUGUCGCUCCGCGCUUACUUUGCCCUGGAAGAUGAGACUCUUGGGGUUGAUUUUUCUGGGCAAAGCGAGUGCGGGGAGGAAAGUCCGGGCUCCACAGGGCGGGACGCUGGAUAACGUCCAGCGGGGGCGACCCCGGGAAAGUGCCACAGAAAGCAAACCGCCCCGCGCUCACUUUGUCCUGAAAUCCAUCUGGUAGAGAUGCGUUUUCAGGGCAAAGUGAGCACGGGGUAAGGGUGAAACGGUGGGGUAAGAGCCCACCAGUUGCCGCGGUGACGCGGCAAGCUCGGCAAACCCCGUUCGGAGCAAGACCAAAUAGGAGGACGCUUGAGGCCGGCCCGGUCGAAGUCCUCGGGUAGGUUGCUUGAGGCAGGGAGUAAUCCCUGUCCCAGAGGAAUGACAGCCGCCCCGCGCUCAUUUUUCAUGCGACUUAAGCCUCCUUGAGGUUCGGGUCUGAUGAAAAAUGAGCGCGGGGAGACAGAACCCGGCUUAUCGCCCGACUCCCGCA